rnacentral:rRNA from 1 species
CGCAUCUGUGCAUGCAGCAUAUCAAUAAGCGGAGGAAAAGAAACUAACAAGGAUUCCCUUAGUAACGGCGAGUGAAGCGGGAAGAGCUCAAAUUUGAAAUCUUCAAGGUUUUACCUUGACGAAUUGUAGUUUAAAGAAGUGUUUUCUGUUGAAGUUUUGGUAAAAGUUCUUUGGAAUAGGACAUCAUAGAGGGUGAGAAUCCCGUAUUUGACCAUUAUUUUCAGCUGUGUGAUACACUUUCAAAGAGUCGGAUUGUUUGGGAAUGCAGUCCAAAAUGGGUGGUAAAUUUCAUCUAAAGCUAAAUAUUGGCGAGAGACCGAUAGCGAACAAGUACCGUGAGGGAAAGAUGAAAAGAACUUUGAAAAGAGAGUUAAACAGUACGUGAAAUUGUCAAAAGGGAAGCGUUUGACACCAGUGUUGUUUUUCUGAAAAUCAAUUAAAGAACUGUUUAUGCUAAGUUGUUUAGACUUUAUCAGCCAACUGUUUAGUUUUGAGCUUUUCUUUAAUGCACUUUUCAGUUAACAAGUCAACAUCAAUUUCUUUUGCUGUAAAAAAGCUUGAGGAAGGUGGCUUGAGAUUCGUCUUAAGUGUUUAUAGCCUCUUGCCUAUGCAGUCGGAGAGAUUGAGGUCUGCAGCGUAGAUCCUUCGGGGCUAAAUGCAUUUGUGCUAAGUUAUAGCAUUUUAUAGACAACUUGUUGACUAUGAUUUAGUCUUGUAGCUUACUCGCUUAUGUUAUUUUACCUACGCUUAGGAUGUUGAUCUCUCACAGUCGAGC